GCGCGAAACCUUCGCAAUGCGCGAAAGCGCGACGAGGGGACCCCAAGUGCUUAUGCUUUUUGCAUAAGCUGUUCUAAUGCCUAAAAAGCAUUUGAAGUAAGGGCUGGGUAAGACGGGUGCCAGCCGCCGCGGUAAUACCCGCAGCCCAAGUGGUGAUCAUUAUUAUUGAGCCUAAAGCGUCCGUAGCCGGUUUAUUAAAUCCCUGGGUAAAUUGGGCAGCUUAACUGUCCAAAUUCCGGGGAGACUGGUAGACUAGGGACCGGGAGAGGUCAGAGGUACUUUCGGGGUAGGGGUGAAAUCCUGUAAUCCUGAAAGGACCACCAGUGGCGAAGGCGUCUGACUAGAACGGAUCCGACGGUGAGGGACGAAGCCCUGGGGCGCAAACCGG
rnacentral:rRNA from 1 species